UACAGAGGGUGCAAGCGUUGUUCGGAUUUACUGGGCGUAAAGCGCGUGUAGGCGGUGGCGUAAGUCGGAUGUGAAAUCCCUCGGCUCAACCGAGGACGUGCAUCCGAUACUGCGUCACUUGAGUACCGGAGGGGAUGGCGGAAUUCCCGGUGUAGAGGUGAAAUUCGUAGAUAUCGGGAGGAACACCUGUGGCGAAGGCGGCCAUCUGGACGGUAACUGACGCUGAGACGCGAAAGCGUGGGUAGCAAACAGG
rnacentral:rRNA from 1 species